GAAAUACCAAACUUGAAGUCAAUCGAAUUGACGGGGUGUCUUCAAUCUGCGGUGGAUUCUGCCAAGGAAAUUCAAAGAGAGCAACAUGAGCAAGGAAAUGAUAAUAUGGUUGUCAUUGAGGAAUACACACAAGAGCCUCACACCAGCUCUUGAUGAUGAACUUGAGCCAUAGUUGAAUAAAAGCAAAAGAGGACGCGGGCAUGUUCGAUCUCAAACGCGGCCAAAAUUGAUGUGAAUAACAUAUAUAUACUCAGAGUGGCAUUUGGGCAUUUCAGUGUGGUAUGUGAUAUUUGGG